rnacentral:rRNA from 1 species
AUUGAACGCUGGCGGCAGGCCUAACACAUGCAAGUCGAACGAGUGGCGGACGGGUGAGUAAUGUCUGGGAAACUGCCUGAUGGAGGGGGAUAACUACUGGAAACGGUAGCUAAUACCGCAUACCAUCAGAUGUGCCCAGAUGGGAUUAGCUAGUUGGUGGGGUAACGGCUCACCAAGGCGACGAUCCCUAGCUGGUCUGAGAGGAUGACAAGCCGCAAUGGAACUGAGACACGGUCCAGACGCCUACGGGUGGCGGCAGUGGGGAAUAUUGCACAAUGGGCACAAGCCGGAUGCAGCCAUUCCGCAUGUAUGAAGAAGGCCUUCGAGGUGUACAGUACUUUGAGCGGGGAGGCGUUACCCGCAGAAGAAGCACCGGCUAACUCCGUGCCAGCCGCCGCGGUAAUAC